UAUUUUAAUGACAUCCAUCCUCCGCUGCCUUCUUAUCUCUUCCUCGACCCGUCGCCGAUGGCCGCGGCGCAUUUUUCUCUUCUCUCCGUCUGUUCGCAUACCCUCCCCGAAGCCCUAGGAAUCCCACGGCGGCAUGCUACUUCCCUUAUUUCCGAUCGCCGCCCCUUCGGUCUGGAUCCCACCAGGCUGCUCUCGUCAUCGCCUAUCCUCCCCAAAAGAAACGAGGUCUUGGGGCGGCUCCGGUCGGUUUCUGGCGGACCUAUCUCUGAGGCUCUAGUUGAAUCGAGAAGCUAUGAGUUUUAUGAUACUACUGCGGAGGUAGAACUGAAACUCGAUAUUGGAAAAUUGGAUGUCACAAAGUCCAGUGAUAUUUUUGUGGAUGUUGAUGAAUCAUCACUAUUAGUUAGAGUAAAAGCUUCUGGGACUCUCAUAACUCUUAUGGAGACAAACUGUUUGUUUGAGAGGAUAAAGCCUUCUGAGACUAUAUGGUAUAUAGAUGAGGACCAAUUAGUUAUUAGUCUAAAAAAAUAUGAUACUGAAUUGAAAUGGCCUGAUUUGGCGGAAUCAUGGGAAUCUCUGACAAAAGGAAUACUGCAAUUGCUCAAAGGAACUUCAAUCUUCAUUGUUGGAGAUUCUACAGAGAUAAAUGAAACAGUUGCCGAUGUACUUGCAAGUGGCAUUGGAUACAUUCCUCUUUAUACAAGUGAUUUGCUGGAGAGAUAUGCUCAACAACCCAUUCAGUCAUGGGUUAUUUCAGAAGGAGCAGAUUCCGUUGCUCAAGCUGAAGGUGCUGUAAUUGAAAGUCUUAGUAGUCAUGCUCGAUCUGUUGUUGCAACACUAGGAGGGCAACAUGGAGCUGCUAGAAGACAUGAUAAAUGGAGGCAUCUUCACGCAGGAUUCACUGUAUGGUUGUCAAUAUCUGAAGCACAAGAUAUGAUUUUGUCAAUGCAGAUGAAGCGUCUGCUAAGGAGGAGACCAGAAGGCACAUACAAGAUGGAAGUUUGGCUUACUCAAAUGCUGAUGUAGUCAUGAAGCUUGGUGGAUGGGACUCAGAUCGAGCUCGAGUUGUUGCACAGGCUUGUUUAAGUGCUCUAAAACAACUUACCUUGUCAGACAAACAACUUACAGGCAAAAAAUCUCUCUAUGUCAGAUUAGGUUGUCGCGGCGAUUGGCCUGACAUUGCGCCUCCUGGUUGGGAUCCAUCGAGUGCAGUAAACCCCGACUCCUAAAGAAGUAUCGAUAGCAUUUUUCCACUAUCAUACUAAAAGAGGUUAAUGAAGGUCAAUUGGGUAGGGAAGGUACAUUGUUGUUCUUCAAAAUUUACUCGAUGUUUGAUAUCUGUCUAUCCAUAUGAAAUCAAGUUCAUUGCACUUAUCGUAGCCUUUUCAUAACUUGCUUGAUCGAUGUAACUCUGUGUCUCUUUUGCAAGUAGCACAACUCUCAAGUAUCUUAGAUCAUUCGAAUAGUAUUCCUGUCAAGCUUCAUCAGUCGAAAAGAGCAAAGUAUGCCGCCUUUCGACAUCAUGAAUGAAAGAAUUUAGCUUUUGUUUUGGAAGAAGCUGCGUGAGAACCUUCGGAGUUGCAAGUGGGUUUUCAUGUCGAUCCACAUUCUACUCUGUUUCUUAAACUUGUUUCAUUAUAAUAAUUUUCUAAUUAUUCAUGUUGAUUUUUCUUGUAUACAUUAACUUUUUAUUAUGCUUUGAAGAUUAAUUUUAUGCAUAAAACACACGUAA